CGUAAAGAGCUUGUAGGCGGUUUGUCGCGUCUGCUGUGAAAAUCCGGGGCUCAACCCCGGACUUGCAGUGGGUACGGGCAGACUAGAGUGUGGUAGGGGAGACUGGAAUUCCUGGUGUAGCGGUGAAAUGCGCAGAUAUCAGGAGGAACACCGAUGGCGAAGGCAGGUCUCUGGGCCACUACUGACGCUGAGAAGCGAAAGCAUGGGGAGCGAACAGGAUUAGAUACCCUGGUAGUCCAUGCCGUAAACGUUGGGCGCUAGGUGUGGGACUCAUUCCACGAGUUCCGUGCCGCAGCUAACGCAUUAAGCGCCCCGCCUGGGGAGUACGGCCGCAAGGCUAAAACUCAAAGGAAUUGACGGGGGCCCGCACAAGCGGCGGAGCAUGCGGAUUAAUUCGAUGCAACGCGAAGAACCUUACCAAGGCUUGACAUAUACCGGAAACAUCCAGAGAUGGGUGCCCCUUUUUGGUCGGUAUACAGGUGGUGCAUGGUUGUCGUCAGCUCGUGUCGUGAGAUGUUGGGUUAAGUCCCGCAACGAGCGCAACCCUCGUUCUAUGUUGCCAGCACGUAAUGGUGGGGACUCAUGGAAGACUGCCGGGGUCAACUCGGAGGAAGGUGGGGAUGACGUCAAAUCAUCAUGCCCCUUAUGUCUUGGGCUUCACGCAUGCUACAAUGGCCGGUACAAUGGGCUGCGAAACCGUAAGGUGGAGCGAAUCCCAAAAAACCGGUCUCAGUUCGGAUUGGGGUCUGCAACUCGACCCCAUGAAGUCGGAGUCGCUAGUAAU
rnacentral:rRNA from 1 species